rnacentral:rRNA from 1 species
UACGAAGGUCCCAAGCGUUAUCCGGAUUUAUUGGGUUUAAAGGGUGCGUAGGCGGGUUAUUAAGUCAGUGGUGAAAGCCUUCAGCUUAACUGAAGAAUUGCCAUUGAUACUGAUGAUCUUGAGUAUGAUUGAGGUGGGCGGAAUGUGUCAUGUAGCGGUGAAAUGCUUAGAUAUGACACAGAACACCGAUUGCGAAGGCAGCUCACUAAAGUCAUAACUGACGCUGAUGCACGAAAGCGUGGGGAGCAAACAGG